GCGGAAGUGCUGGAAUUGGCAGACAGGCAUGUUUGAGGGGCAUGUGCGACUAUUCGCGUAGGGGUUCAAGUCCCCUUUUCCGCACCA
rnacentral:tRNA from 2 species